GAGAGAGACCUGUAACUUAGGAAGGGGAGGAGAGUGAAGUUCGAGAGAAAUGAAAGUAAAACUAUGACCUUUUCUCAAUUGUAUACUCCGUAAACAACUUUUGUCAAUUUGAAGUCAAACGAUUUGAUCCCCAGUCAUCUCUAGCCUACUCAUCAGGGGAGUCUAACCAAAAGUCCAACGAACUAGUUGCAUUUGAUCUACAAUCUUUAAGUCAACUAUGGUUUUAACAGCGCACUGGUUAACGUUCAGUGUUGGUCAAUAUGCCCUUACAAUGGGAGCAGCAACAGUCUCCACGCCUGCUCUGUUGGGUCUGGGGGUAAUAGCUGCUGUCACAGUUGGCUACUAUUACGUCUACAAAACUGGUCAUGAGAAAGAAAAGGGUAACCAGAAGAACGCAUGAUGUGACCCCGCCCCCUGCUGGAGGAUUCAGACAUCACAGCAGAACUCCACAACGCUAGAUAAUCAUAGUUUGUGUGUUUCAAGGUGUUGUUGUGUUGAGAACAUGGAAUUGCGUUAAAAAAAUAAAUAUGCAGUUGCAUUUUCA